rnacentral:rRNA from 1 species
UAGGGAAUCUUCCGCAAUGGGCGAAAGCCUGACGGAGCAACGCCGCGUGAGUGAUGAAGGUCUUCGGAUCGUAAAACUCUGUUAUUAGGGAAGAACAUAUGUGUAAGUAACUGUGCACAUCUUGACGGUACCUAAUCAGAAAGCCACGGCUAACUACGUGCCAGCAGCCGCGGUAAUACGUAGGUGGCAAGCGUUAUCCGGAAUUAUUGGGCGUAAAGCGCGCGUAGGCGGUUUUUUAAGUCUGAUGUGAAAGCCCACGGCUCAACCGUGGAGGGUCAUUGGAAACUGGAAAACUUGAGUGCAGAAGAGGAAAGUGGAAUUCCAUGUGUAGCGGUGAAGUGCGCAGAGAUAUGGAGGAACACCAGUGGCGAAGGCGACUUUCCGGUCUGUAACUGACGCUGAUGUGCGAAAGCGUGGGGAUCAAACAGGAUUAGAUACCCUGGUAGUCCACGCCGUAAACGAUGAGUGCUAAGUGUUAGGGGGGUUCCGCCCCUUAGUGCUGCAGCUAACGCAUUAAGCACUCCGCCUGGGGAGUACGACCGCAAGGUU